rnacentral:rRNA from 1 species
UACGUAGGGUGCGAGCGUUAAUCGGAAUUACUGGGCGUAAAGCGCGCGCAGGCGGUUUCUUAAGUCUGAUGUGAAAGCCCACGGCUCAACCGUGGAGGGUCAUUGGAAACUGGGAAACUUGAGUGCAGAAGAGAAGAGCGGAAUUCCACGUGUAGCGGUGAAAUGCGUAGAGAUGUGGAGGAACACCAGUGGCGAAGGCGGCUCUUUGGUCUGUGACUGACGCUGAGGCGCGAAAGCGUGGGGAGCGAACAGG